rnacentral:rRNA from 1 species
GAUGAACGCUGGCGGCGUGCCUAAUACAUGCAAGUCGAGCGAACGGACGAGAAGCUUGCUUCUCUGAUGUUAGCGGCGGACGGGUGAGUAACACGUGGAUAACCUACCUAUAAGACUGGGAUAACUUCGGGAAACCGGAGCUAAUACCGGAUGAUAUUUUGAACCGCAUGGUUCAAAAGUGAAAGACGGUCUUGCUGUCACUUAUAGAUGGAUCUGCGCUGCAUUAGCUAGUUGGUAAGGUAACGGCUUACCAAGGCAACGAUGCAUAUCCGACCUGAGUGGGUGGUCGGCGACACUGGAGCGUGGACGCGGUCAUGACUCCUGCGGGAGGGAGCAGUAGCGAAUCUUCCGCAACGGUCGGAAGCCUGACGGAGCAGCGCCGCGUCAGUGAUGGAGGUGUUCCGAUCGUAAAGCUCUGUUAUUAGGGAAGAACAGAUGUGUAAGUUACUGUGCACAUCUUGACGGUACCUAAUCAGAAAGCCCCGGCUAACUACGUG